rnacentral:rRNA from 1 species
CCUACGGGAGGCAGCAGUAAGGAAUAUUGGACAAUGCUCGCAAGAGUGAUCCAGCCAUGCCGCGUGCAGGAAGAAUGCCCUAUGGGUAGUAAACUGCUUUUGAACUAGAGAAAACCCCAGUACGUGUACUGGGCUGAUAGUAUAGUUAGAAUAAGCAUCGGCUAACUUCGUGCCAGCAGCCGCGGUAAGACGAAGGAUGCAAGCGUUAUCCGGAUUCAUUGGGUUUAAAGGGAGCGUAGGUGGACUGAUAAGUCAGUGGUGAAAUCUCCGAGCUUAACUCGGAAAUUGCCAUUGAUACUGUUGGUCUUGAGUACAGUUGCUGUGGGCGGAAUAUGACAUGUAGUGGUGAAAUACAUAGAGAUGUCAUAGAACACCGAUUGCGAAGGCAGCUCACAAAGCUGUAACUGACACUGAGGCUCGAAAGUGCGGGGAUCAAACAGGAUUAGAUACCCUGGUAGUCCGCACCGUAAACGAUGAUUACUCGCUGCUAGGGGGCAACCUUAGUGGCUUAGCGAAAGCGAUAAGAAUCCACCUGGGAGUACGCCGGCACGGUUGAACUUAAGAUAGUACGGAGNGNGAGAGCGACGGACGACGACGACGGAGGGAGGAG